rnacentral:rRNA from 1 species
UGGACGUAUCAGAAGUGCGAAUGCUGACAUAAGUAACGAUAAAACGGGUGAAAAACCCGUUCGCCGGAAGACCAAGGGUUCCUGUCCAACGUUAAUCGGGGCAGGGUGAGUCGGCCCCUAAGGCGAGGCUGAAAAGCGUAGUCGAUGGGAAACGGGUUAAUAUUCCCGUACUUGGAUAAACUGCGAUGUGGGGACGGAGCAGGUUAGGUUAUCGCACUGUUGGAUAUGUGCGUUUAAGUUUGUAGGUGUGAAGUUUAGGCAAAUCCGGACUUCUUUAACACUGAGAGAUGAUGACGAGGCUCUACGGAGCUGAAGUAACCGAUACCACACUUCCAGGAAAAGCCACUAAGCUUCAGGUUUAUCUAAACCGUACUGAAAACCGACACAGGUGGUCAGGUAGAGAAUACUCAGGCGCUUGAGAGAACUCGGGUGAAGGAACUAGGCAAAAUAGCACCGUAACUUCGGGAGAAGGUGCGCCGGCGUAGAUUGUAGUCCCUUGCGGAUGAAGGUUGAACCGGUCGAAGAUACCAGCUGGCUGCAACUGUUUAUUAAAAACACAGCACUCUGCAAACACGAAAGUGGACGUAUAGGGUGUGAUGCCUGCCCGGUGCUGGAAGGUUAAUUGAUGGUGUAAUCGAAAGAGAAGCUCCUGAUCGAAGCCCCAGUAAACGGCGGCCGUAACUAUAACGGUCCUAAGGUAGCGAAAUUCCUUGUCGGGUAAGUUCCGACCUGCACGAAUGGCAUAAUGAUGGCCAGGCUGUCUCCACCCGAGACUCAGUGAAAUUGAAAUCGCCGUGAAGAUGCGGUGUACCCGCGGCUAGACGGAAAGACCCCGUGAACCUUUACUAUAGCUUGACACUGAACAUUGAAUUUUGAUGUGUAGGAUAGGUGGGAGACUUAGAAGUAGUCACGCCAGUGAUUAUGGAGUCGUCCUUGAAAUACCACCCUUUAACGUUUGAUGUUCUAACGAAGAUUACGAAACGUGGUCUCGGACAGUGUCUGGUGGGUAGUUUGACUGGGGCGGUCUCCUCCCAAAGAGUAACGGAGGAGCACGAAGGUUUGCUAAUGACGGUCGGACAUCGUCAGGUUAGUGCAAUGGUAUAAGCAAGCUUAACUGCGAGACAGACAAGUCGAGCAGGUACGAAAGUAGGUCAUAGUGAUCCGGUGGUUCUGAAUGGAAGGGCCAUCGCUCAACGGAUAAAAGGUACUCCGGGGAUAACAGGCUGAUACCGCCCAAGAGUUCAUAUCGACGGCGGUGUUUGGCACCUCGAUGUCGGCUCAUCACAUCCUGGGGCUGAAGUAGGUCCCAAGGGUAUGGCUGUUCGCCAUUUAAAGUGGUACGCGAGCUGGGUUUAGAACGUCGUGAGACAGUUCGGUCCCUAUCUGCCGUGGGCGUUGGAGAAUUGAAAGGGGCUGCUCCUAGUACGAGAGGACCGGAGUGGACGCACCACUGGUGUUCCGGUUGUGUCGCCAGACGCAUUGCCGGGUAGCUAAGUGCGGAAGAGAUAAGUGCUGAAAGCAUCUAAGCACGAAACUUGCCUUGAGAUGAGUUCUCCCUGUCUUUAAGACAGUAAGGGUUGUUUAAGACUAAGACGUAGAUAGGUCUGGUGUGUAAGCGGUGCGAGCCGUUGAGCUAACAGAUACUAAUUGCCCGAGAGGCUUAACUAU